AUGCGUUCAGAAGCUGAUGCAGACCUUACCACACAUGCUGAAUUCUUCAUCAACAACCUCAAAGAGACAUGGAACCGUCACUACGAAAACUCAAGGGUCCAGAUCGGUCAUUUCCCAAUCGAGUAUGUCGCGACUACGAAGCAAGGAAACCGCAUGACUGUGGCUUUCACACGUUGGAAUACCUUGCAAAGUGGGAAGGCCGACGGGUCCCUGUCGUCACUGCUGCAAUGGUCGUUGAGCUCCGCAAAAUAUACACAUGGAACUGGCUGA
rnacentral:rRNA from 1 species